UGUUUUCCCCAACUCCCUACUCCCUUCCCACUCAUUCCACCCCCCUUCCUUUUGCCUUCUUCAGCCCCUCUUCUGUCCCUGCAGGGACCACUCACCUGACAGCCUGCAGGGGGAGGGAGCCUUGUUUCCCUGCUCCCUUCAUGCCUCUAGCUUCCUGCAGGCCUGGACUACGUCCUCCACUCUGGACACUGGCCUCCUCCAGAAUAAUUUGCAGAGAAGUUAAAUGAAAUGAAAUGAAAUGAAGAGUUGCACCAGAUGACAUAAUACUCUGGGCCCCAGCUGAACGAGAGAUCAGAGGUUGGGCCCAUCGCAUGCAUGCCACCAGUAUGACAGCACUAAGACUGGUGUAUUUAAUUGCCUGCAGCUAUACCAGGCCAAAUGUGGCUAAUCUCUAAAAAUAAGUGGAAUUGGGCCUUCUUAGAACCCAAAAGGAAGACAGAAACCACAUCAGAAUGAAGCAGACUACAGUCAUCUUCUUACAUACCAUGAAUGUUAAACAAGGGGCUGAGAGCUGGAGGUUUGGAUCUCAGCUCUACCACUUCCUAGAUAUCUGAACUCAAAAUCUUCUAACUUUAGUUUUGUCACUUCAGAUGGAUGUGCAAAUAGGUCCCUCUGGAUUUUCUGUGCAGAUUACAUACAACAUGUGUCAUUCUUUACCACUGAUAUUAGUAUGAUGAUCAUU